UUGGUUACUACAAUCGGCCAUAAUGCAACAAGGAGUCUUACGAGGAUAGCACGAGGGAGGAUUAAAUUGUAUUAAAAGAAUUAUAUGAUGCAUAUAGACAUAAAUUCAUUAUUGCAGCAAAGUAUAGUAAAAUACGAUAAAAAAGUCUACAUGGAUAAAAAUGACGACAGAUGAUGAAUAGUGUAAGUAUAUGUAAAUAAAUAUACAAAAGGGAAUAUUAAAAUUAAUGAGA